rnacentral:tRNA from 1 species
GGCGCGGUAGCUCAGCCUGGUAGAGCUACGGGCUGUUAACCCGUGGGUCACCGGUUCGAAUUUCCGGUCCGCGCCGCCA